GACAGAGGGUGCAAACGUUGUUCGGAAUUACUGGGCGUAAAGCGCGUGUAGGCGGCCCUGCAAGUCGGAUGUGAAAUCCCACGGCUCAACCGUGGAAGUGCAUUCGAAACUGCAGGGCUAGAGUCCUGGAGAGGAAGGUGGAAUGCUUGGUGUAGAGGUGAAAUUCGUAGAUAUUGGGAAGAACACCGGUGGCGAAGGCGGCCAUCUGGCCCGUGAUUGACGCUGAGGCGCGAAAGCGUGGGGAGCAAACAGG
rnacentral:rRNA from 1 species